rnacentral:rRNA from 1 species
UACGUAGGGGGCGAGCGUUGUCCGGAUUUAUUGGGCGUAAAGAGCGUGUAGGCGGCCAGGUAGGUCAGCUGUGAAAACUCGAGGCUCAACCUCGAGACGCCGGUUGAAACCAUCUGGCUAGAGUCCGGAAGAGGAGAGUGGAAUUCCUGGUGUAGCGGUGAAAUGCGCAGAUAUCAGGAAGAACACCCGUGGCUAAGGCGGCUCUCUAGUACGGUACUGACGCUGAGACGCGAAAGCGUGGGGAGCGAACAGG